CUGGAGGCGGCUUCUCCGGCCGGGCGGCCCCGCCACCGCGACGCCGGGCCCCUGACGUCACCCGAUUCGCCAGGAAAUGAACUUUUUAAUAAUCCCGAGGAGGGAGGAAAGCUCUUGGUCCCCUCGGCUCGGGGGGCUCCUGGCCAGGCCCAGCUCCGCGGGAGCGCCCGUCACCCUCUCCCAGACCAGCUCUGGGCAGCGCGGGAGAGGGGGGGCGGGGGGCGCGGGCACAGACUAGGGGCCUCCUCCUGCCUCUGCGUCCGGCUGUCCGUUGAUCAGGCCCUGGCGCAGGUAAAGACGCGGGACUGGAGGCGCGGAGCCCCCAUCGAGCUGGGAACCGGCGCGUCUUGGGCGCUUGGGGGACGCGCCAGCCCUGGCUGCCCGCUUCGCCUCCCACUCCGCUCCACUCCGGGGCGCGCGGGGCCCGCCUGGGCUGCUCGGAACUCCGCUCCACCUAAGAGGAGGCCGACGCCAGCUGUGUAAAGCGCUCCGGGACCCGGAGUGGGAGCGCGAGGCCGCGGGCGCCGGGCCUCUUCGGCCAGGCCGGGCAGGUGACUGGCCCCAGUGCCUUCUGAUUCGUGCUCCCCGAAACGCGCGCGGUUUGGCCUGGACUGGCUGCCUCUCUGUUCGUCUGUCUCUCCUCCCUGCCUUUAGUUUGUGAUUCUUCAUCAACGCGUAAAAUGCGAUCGUCGGAGCCUUGAGACUGUUUUGCAUCCCUGGAACCUAGCAGGAACUUAUCAAAGACACCGCCGCCCCGGGGACAAUCCCUAGUGUCAGGCAAGACUGCCCCGCCAGCUCGAACCCCGCGGGAGCCAGCGCGGGAGGCAGCCAGCCACUUGCCGGACCCGGGCUGUGAACACCGGAGCCGAGUGGAAGACUUGCGUGGAUCUGCGAUCCUCGCCUUGGCUCGCAGGGAGGUGGCCACUUCGGGCGCUGGGGAGAGCAGGAACGAACCCGCCUGGGAGAGAAAAGAGAGGCACCAGGCAGCAGGAGGCCCAGCUGACCAGUAAAACACACCUCCACCAUCCUGCCUGUGUGUGUGCCAGACAGGGACACUAGUCAGGCAUCUUGCCCAGGAGGUGGUCUGAGAGUCCCCCAGAAAGCAUGGGUCCUAACGGCUCAAGAUGCUUUCUCUCGGAAGCCGGAGGCACAGGGAUCCGAGGCCUGUUUCUAGAGGGCCUCACCUGCUUGGACCGCGGCUCUCAGCUACCCCGUCUUCCCCGUGGCACAUAGCCCUCCCGUCCGUGCCCUUUGUUUAAAUUUCCUUCAUCCAAGGUGGCCCCUCUGGGACCAUAAGUUUGCCA